GGCGGCAGGCCUAACACAUGCAAGUCGAGCGGUAGAGAGAAGCUUGCUUCUCUUGAGAGCGGCGGACGGGUGAGUAAUGCCUAGGAAUCUGCCUGGUAGUGGGGGAUAACGUUCGGAAACGGACGCUAAUACCGCAUACGUCCUACGGGAGAAAGCAGGGGACCUUCGGGCCUUGCGCUAUCAGAUGAGCCUAGGUCGGAUUAGCUAGUUGGUGAGGUAAUGGCUCACCAAGGCGACGAUCCGUAACUGGUCUGAGAGGAUGAUCAGUCACACUGGAACUGAGACACGGUCCAGACUCCUACGGGAGGCAGCAGUGGGGAAUAUUGGACAAUGGGCGAAAGCCUGAUCCAGCCAUGCCGCGUGUGUGAAGAAGGUCUUCGGAUUGUAAAGCACUUUAAGUUGGGAGGAAGGGUUGUAGAUUAAUACUCUGCAAUUUUGACGUUACCGACAGAAUAAGCACCGGCUAACUCUGUGCCAGCAGCCGCGGUAAUACAGAGGGUGCAAGCGUUAAUCGGAAUUACUGGGCGUAAAGCGCGCGUAGGUGGUUUGUUAAGUUGGAUGUGAAAUCCCCGGGCUCAACCUGGGAACUGCAUUCAAAACUGACUGACUAGAGUAUGGUAGAGGGUGGUGGAAUUUCCUGUGUAGCGGUGAAAUGCGUAGAUAUAGGAAGGAACACCAGUGGCGAAGGCGACCACCUGGACUAAUACUGACACUGAGGUGCGAAAGCGUGGGGAGCAAACAGUAUUAGAUACCCUGGUAGUCC
rnacentral:rRNA from 1 species